ACGUAGGGGGCAAGCGUUGUUCGGAAUUAUUGGGCGUAAAGAGCAUGUAGGCGGCUAUGUAAGUCGGUUGUGAAAGCCUUCCGCUUAACGGAAGAACGGCAUCUGAUACUACAGGGCUUGAGUACGGGAGGGGAGAGUGGAACUUCUGGUGGAGCGGUGAAAUGCGUAGAUAUCAAAAGGAACGCCGGCGGCGAAAGCGACUCUCUGGUCCGAAACUGACGCUGAGUGUGCGAAAGCUAGGGGAGCAAACGG
rnacentral:rRNA from 1 species